ensembl:snRNA U5 U5 spliceosomal RNA
AUAUUCUGGUUCCUCUUCAGGUUGUAGAAAUCUUUUGCCUUUUACUAAAGUUUUCUGUGGAAAGAAAUAAUUCUGAGUUUAUACCCAAUUUUCUAAAGUUCUGUGUCAAGUACAAAG